GACGAACGCUGGCGGCGUGCUUAACACAUGCAAGUCGAACGGAAAGGCCCGGCUUUUGUUGGGUUCUCGAUUGGCGAACGGGUGAGUAACACGUGAGUAACCUGCCCUUGACUUUGGGAUAACUUCAGGAAACUGGGGCUAAUACCGGAUAGGAGCUCCUGCUGCAUGGUGGGGGUUGGAAAGUUUCGGCGGUUGUGGAUGGACUCGCGGCUUAUCAGCUUGUUGGUGGGGUAGUGGCUUACCAAGCCUUUGACGGGUAGCCGGCCUGAGAGGGUGACCGGCGACAUUGGGCCUGAGAUAGGGACCAGAAUCCUACGGGCGGCAGCAGUGGGGAAUCUUGCACAAUGGGCGGAAGCCUGAUGUAGCAACGCCGCGUGCGUGAUGCUGGGUUACGGGUUGUAAACAGAUUUCGAAGUUGACGAAGAGUGAGUGACGGUAAUGGGUAAAGAAGCAACGGCUAACUACGUG
rnacentral:rRNA from 1 species